rnacentral:tRNA from 3 species
GUACCCGUAGCUCAGCUGGAUAGAGCGUUGGCCUCCGAAGCCAAAGGUCGCUGGUUCGACCCCAGUCGGGUACACCA